rnacentral:rRNA from 1 species
GGAUGCGAUCAUACCAGCACUAAAGCACCGGAUCCCAUCAGAACUCCGAAGUUAAGCGUGCUUGGGCGAGAGUAGUACUAGGAUGGGUGACCCCCUGGGAAGUCCUCGUGUUGCAUCCCUUUCUUUUUUUUUUGUCCUUUAAAAUUCGGUUUAAUUUUGUCGGUUCGAUCGGAGAAUCUUUUUGUUUUUCCUCUUGGCGGAAUCGAAAAAGGGGCAAAGGCACAGGGGCGCGCGUGCAGGGUGUGACGGGCGGCGCAGGAGAAUGAUGCUUAAUUGAAUUUGGAGUGCUGGGAAUGAU